rnacentral:rRNA from 1 species
GACGGAGGAUGCAAGUGUUAUCCGGAAUCACUGGGCGUAAAGCGUCUGUAGGUGGUUCAAUAAGUCAACUGUUAAAUCUUGAGGCUCAACUUCAAAAUCGCAGUCGAAACUAUUAAACUAGAGUAUAGUAGGGGUAAAGGGAAUUUCCAGUGGAGCGGUGAAAUGCGUAGAGAUUGGAAAGAACACCAAUGGCGAAAGCACUUUACUGGGCUAUUACUGACACUGAGGAGCGAAAGCGUGGGGAGCGAACAGG